CUUUUCCCAAUAUUGGGUCCUCCAACAAAAUUAGCCAAUAUUUUUGCAGACCUUUUUUGAUCUUCCAAUGAUCUGUGUUUAAAUGUGUAACAAAUGCACAUCUAAAUUGAUCUCCUGAUUUUUUUAUGGUUUGACUGUCCAUUGGUAAUUCAUUCCUAUCUCUCCUUGACAUAAUCCUAAUCUCCUUUUCAAUCAUAUUUUUGUUAUAACCCUUCUUUACAAGUUUAUUUUUGAUGUGCUGUGCCUGUUGUGUGAAAUCCUGGAUGUGUGAACAGUUACGCCUCACUCUUGUUAGCUGUCCCUUGGCUACCUAAAAUAAACUGUAAUGCCGUCAAAAUAAAUGUUUUCAUAUGAUUCGAUAUGUCCUAAAUUUGACUCAUAAAAAAUUUAGAUUAUGACUAAUGACUGUAUAUAGUGAUACCACAUCCAACUUGGCCCAACUAAAACCUGCCAUUCCAGGUUUUCCACUUCUUGUAAAAAUUACUUUGUGUCUUUAGUGUAUGAUAGAGCAUUCUGUGCAUAUGUUUGCAAAUAAGAGUCUACAAAGGAAGAUAGAAUAUAUACCGCUGAUGAUAGGGCAGCCCAGUGGGGUCUGGAGGUUUUUGUGAAUUUUAAGUAUGAAAUACAUUUUUUUUUUUUUUAAUGUAAACAAUUAUGUCUCCUCUUACAUGUGAAACCGGAGUUAAUUACCAGUUUGAUUAAAUUCCAUCGACAUCAUGGCUAUACCCCUGGAGAACUCCAGAAGGUGAUCAAACAAAAUGUGCUGCAACGGAACACGUGGCCAUAUUGGAUUCAGCUAGAGAUGGAACACAUGGAAGUGUGUCAUCAUGAGGAAGCACCUGUCUUACUACGAACGGAUCACUGGUAAAGACGAACAGCUGAGAGAAGAGGAGUCAAGAGGACCAGCGGUGGGAUAGGCUUGGAGAUUCAUCAAGCAUGAUAUGAUAAGCACACGUAAAGUUAUACAUGCAGAAUAUACAUAAAUAUAUGUGAUGAAUGAAUAUCUGUACUAUAUUUCUACAUAUUUGCACUGUUUUUAAGGGGAAUACUUGGAAGUUUUUU